rnacentral:rRNA from 1 species
UACGUAGAGUGCAAGCGUUAAUCGGAAUUACUGGGCGUAAAGCGUGCGCAGGCGGCUUUGCAAGACAGAUGUGAAAUCCCCGGGCUUAACCUGGGAGCUGCAUUUGUGACUGCACGGCUAGAGUACGGCAGAGGGGGAUGGAAUUCCGCGUGUAGCAGUGAAAUGCGUAGAUAUGCGGAGGAACACCGAUGGCGAAGGCAAUCCCCUGGGCCUGUACUGACGCUCAUGCACGAAAGCGUGGGGAGCAAACAGG